AUCUUUGCACCCGAUUAAGGUUGUGUUUUUGAUUAAAAAACACAUUAAAAGGGAAUCAAGUGACUGAUUUUAAGUAUUUUAAAAUCAAAUUCUUGAGCUGUACCCGCAACUGUAAGCUUAGUUCUUUUUAAAAGAAUGCUUGUUGUUAUCUACAAAACCACUGUCACGGCUGCGUGAUGGGAAGGUAAACAACAAGACGCAAGCCAGGAGACCUGCCUUAUUAACAAAUAUCGA
rnacentral:ncRNA from 2 species